CCAAACUUCGGGAGAAGGGGGGCCCGGAACCUGAAGUGACGAGCUCACUAGGGUGAAGGGCCGCAGAGACCAGGGAGAAGCGACUGUUUACUAAAAACACAGGUCCGUGCGAAGUCGCAAGACGAUGUAUACGGACUGACGCCUGCCCGGUGCUGGAAGGUUAAGAGGACCGGUUAGACCGCAAGGUCGAAGCUGAGAAUUUAAGCCCCAGUAAACGGCGGUGGUAACUAUAACCAUCCUAAGGUAGCGAAAUUCCUUGUCGGGUAAGUUCCGACCUGCACGAAUGGCGUAACGACUUCUCCACUGUCUCAACCGCGAACUCGGCGAAAUUGCACUACGAGUAAAGGUGCUCGUUACGCGCAGCAGGACGGAAAGACCCCGGGACCUUUACUAUAGCUUGGUAUUGGUGUUCGGUACGGCUUGUGUAGGAUAGGUGGGAGACUGUGAAGCAUGCACGCCAGCGUGUGUGGAGUCAACGUUGAAAUACCACUCUGGUCGUUCUGGAUAUCUAACCUCGGUCCGUGAUCCGGAUCAGGGACAGUGCCUGGUGGGUAGCUUAACUGGGGCGGUUGCCUCCUAAAAGGUAACGGAGGCGCUCAAAGGUUCCCUCAGCCUGGUUGGCAAUCAGGUUUCGAGUGUAAGUGCACAAGGGAGCUUGACUGCGAGAGAGACAUCUCGAGCAGGGACGAAAGUCGGAACUAGUGACCCGGCGGUGGCUUGUGGAAGCGCCGUCGCUCAACGGAUAAAAGGUACCCCGGGGAUAACAGGCUGAUCUUGCCCAAGAGUCCAUAUCGACGGCAUGGUUUGGCACCUCGAUGUCGGCUCGUCGCAUCCUGGGGGUGGAGUUGCUCCCAAGGGUUGGGCUGUUCGCCCAUUAAAGCGGUUCGCGAGCUGGGUUUAGAACGUCGUGAGACAGUUCGGUCCCUAUCCGCUGUGCGCGUAGGAAACUUAGAAGGGCUGACCCUAGUACGAGAGGACCGGGUUGGACGAACCUCUGGUGUGUCAGUUGUCCUGCCAAGGGCACCGCUGAUUAGCUACGUUCGGAAGUGAUAACCGCUGAAAGCAUCUAAGCGGGAAGCACGCUUCAAGAUGAGGUUUCCAUGCACCAUCAGGUGUGAGAGGCUCCCGGCUAGACUACCGGGUUGAUAGGCCAGACGUGGAAGUGCAGCAAUGCAUGUAGCUGACUGGUACUAAUAAGCCGACAAC
rnacentral:rRNA from 1 species